rnacentral:lncRNA from 1 species
CUCUCUCCUCUUCAUCCUCUUGCUUAUGGUGUUUGGGAACCAUUAGAGGAGUGACAUUUGUGACUCUAAGCUUUCUAAAGUCAAUACAAGGAGAUUUGGGAUUUUUAUUGCUACAUAACAAUCAAGGUAAUAUCUUAAACCCAUUCUUAUGUUAAUAUGAUUACUUGUAUGCUAGAAUUAGGGUUUAUAGUCUUGGAUAACUUGCAUGUACAAUAGAGAAACCUAGAUCCAAGCAUUAGGGUUUGUAUGAGCACAUAGGAUGUUCUUAUGACCAAAACUCAUCAAUUUCACCAUUGUUGUGAGUUUGAGAAAGCUUUGAAGAAUGUAGAAGAAGGUUGAAAGUUUAGAGAGCGUAAACUUUUCUUUGUGGAGAGAAAGGGGCUUUAUAGUGGCUUAAGGGAGCGGGAAACGUUUUUGACCUAAGUGAAUUCUGGUAAAAACAUUUGGGUUUAUCUUUUGAAUUAGCGUCUUUAAUCUCAGCCACAUAUUGAUAAAAGAGGGAUUAGAUCUAAAAUUGGGAUUUACCAAAAAGGUUCUGCAUUUAACGAAAUGUCAGAUUUUGUAUCACGUUUGGUGAACGUGUGGUGGGGGAGAGAUUAAUCCGUUGGAUAAAGGGGAAGUUGUAACAGAUGUGAUGGUUUGGGGUAAUAGGAAAAGACAUAUUAAAAGGAUUUGAUUUGGAAAAUCUUUAUUUUGUCAUCAUACCUAAAAUAGGUCUAACACAAGGUUUAGACAAAAAAGAAUGUGAUAGUUUCUCAAAGGAAUGUUUUUAUUUAAUGUUUUAUUUAAUGAAGGAUCAUUAAAUAGCACACCAUGUUUUUUUUGUUUUUCAAAAGAAUGAACAGUGUGAAAAUCAAUUAAUGUGACUGCGGAUGGACACAUCAUUGCGGAUGGCUCCUCUGCCAUUGCGGAUGACUGCAGCGGGAGAAACUGAGAAAAGCACUUGUACAAGAAGUUAGUAAUAACAAACAAGAAGGGCCAGUGAAAGAUAAAUAUAAUAUAUGGUUGCGGUACAUAGACUGCGGUACACAGGAUAUACCAAAACCAUCUAUUAUAAAUGUCUUUCAGUUAGGACCGCAAUGGAGACCAAGAAUGGUCGGUGGUACCUAUCAAUUCAAGAAGAAUUGAGGGUCUAGAUUCAUCAUCCCUAACAUUUGUAAGAAUGAAUUGAGUUUGGUAGAGUCAAGUGCUUUUGUAAAUACAUCAACAAUCUCUUCAUGAGUAGGGACAAAGUUGAGUUCAAUGUUACCUUUCAUAAUGUGGUCUUUGAAGAAGUUAUACCAUAGUUCAAUAUGUUUCGUCUUGGAGUGCUGAAUAGGAUUAUGAGAAAUUGCUAUGGCACUUUCAGAGUCACAGUAGAUUGGUAUUCGCAGCAUUCUGUAUCCGUAGUCUAGCAGUUGUGUCUUCAUCUAUUGAACUUGAGAACAACAGCUGGCUGCAGCCACAUAUUCGGCUUCUGCAGUAGACAGUGAAACACAAUUUGUUUUCAUGAGGACCAGCUGACGAGUCUACCUCCCAAAAAUUGGCAUUCACCUGAGGUACUUUUUCGAUCAAGUUUGCAUCUGGCAUGAUCCGCAUCGGUAAAUCCUUGAAGACUGAAAUCAUUGCCUGCAGGGUACCAUAGACCAAGAGAUUUGCUUCAUUUCAGGUACCGGAGAAUUUGUUUGGCUGCGGUCAUAUGUGACACUUUUGGUUCAGUCUAAUACCUUGCACAUACACCAGUUGCAAAGAUAAUGUCCGGUUGGCUUGCGGCGAGGUACAUUAGAGAGCCAAUGAUACAUCUAUAAGUCUUGUGAUCCACAGAUUCGCCAGAGGGAUCAGCAGAGAUCUUAUAAUCGAAGGCCAUAGGGACCUUAGCCGAGGAACAGUUGUCCAUAGAGUAUUUCUUCAAUAAUUCAGUGGUAUAUUUCUCUUGAUGAAUGAAUAUCCCUUGCUGAAUUUGUUUGACUUGAAGACCUAGAAAGAAAUUAAUCUCUCUAUUCAUGCCCAUUUGGAAUUUGUUUGUCAUGAGCUUAGCAAAUUCAUCCACCAUUCCUUGAUCAGUCGAUCCGAAGAGGAUAUCAUCCACGUAUAUCUGUACAAGCAUAAGGUGGUCACCAUUUGCUUUUCUAAAUAACAUGGGAUCAAUCACUCCUCUUUUGUAUCCUGAAGAGACUAGAAAUUCAGAAAGAGUCUCAUACCAAGCUCUUGGGGCUUGCUUCAGACUGUAGAUUUCCUUUUGAAUCUUUUAGCAGUGGUCGGGGAAUUCAAUACUUUCAAAGCCGGGAGGUUGCUGAAGAUAAACCUCUUCUUUCAAUUCCCCAUUGAGAUAAGCACUCUUAACGUCCAUUUGGUGUACCUUGAUGUUUUUGUGGUCAGCAUAUGCUAAAAAGAUUUGAAUGGCUUCCAUUCGUGCCACCGGAGCAUAUGUUUCAUCGUAGUCAACACCUUCAAGUUGACUAUACCCUUUUGCCACUAGUCUUGCAUUAUUUCUAAUAACCGCACCAGAUUCAUCUAACUUGUUCUUGAACAUCCAUCUUGUUCCUACAAUAGUAUAACCUUGCGGUAUGGGAACGAGUUGCCACACCUUGUUCCAUUUGAAUUCUUCCAGUUCUUCUUGCAUUGCAGAAAUCCAAUCAGUUUCCAAUAAUGCUUCUUUGAUCGAUCGUGGCUCGACUGCGGACAUAAAUGUUGCGUACUGACAAUGAUCAAAUAAGUCCUUGGCAGAUCGAGUCUGGAUACCUACGGAUGGGUUGCCAAUAAUUUGACCUGGUGGGUGGUCCUUCGUCCAUACAUGUAGACGAGGCAUCAGAUGAUCAGCAGCUACGGUAGAGGGGAUGUCUUCAAUGUCAGAAGUUUCUUCGGUUGGAGAUGGUAGUUCCCCCCGGAUUUGAGAACAUCCUGCGGAAUCAUCUUGUCUUGUUGGAGCGAGAAUGGAAUUUUCUUGAGCAGUUUGGAGAGGUUACCUCUGGAUUGCUAAUGGGAGUUCCUUUGGAACCUGAGAAGGUUCCCCCUGACUGCUGAUGGGAUUGUGAUGAUUCUUGAAUCAGUACUAGUGUCAAUGUUCUCUAUGAUUUCAUCAUCCGAAUCUGAAGAUACAUUUGAUGGUAAUGAUUUUCUGCAGAUAGGAACUUGGGCAUCAUCAAGUAUUGGAAUCUCGAUGGUUGUUGCUUGAUCCAGAGUAGAGCUUUCCCCUUAACCGGAGAGGUGAAAGUAUUGAGAGAUGCUACUUCGGAUAGAGAUGGACCAGAAACAUCAGCAUGUUGUUGUUGGGCGGCUGGUGACACAAGAACUUCGGAUAGUUUCGCUAUUUCAACAGGGUUGAAAAGGUCGUCAUAAUUGACUUCAACAAGAUUUAAAGGACCUAAAGAAGAAGGAAUAUAACUUUCCAAGAUUGCGGUGGUUUCAGUGGAUGGAGGGGCGUUGCGGAUGUGAGAAUCAUCAAAUUUCACAUCGAAGCUUUCAAUGAUUAGCCUUGUACGUAUGAUGAGAACCCGGUAAGCAACCUUGUUCGUGGAUUAGCCAAGAAAGAUGCCUUCAUCCAACUUUGGUGCAAAUUUGCUAAGUUGGUCUCUGUUUUUGAUCACAAAACAUCUACACCCAAAGAUAUGAAAGAAGUGAACAUUUGGUUUGCGGUUGUUAAGGCCCUCAUAUGGUGUUUUAUUGAGGCGCUUGCACACAAUGCUUUGGUUUUGAACAAAGCAUUCAGUUGCUACAGCUUCGGCCCAGAAGUAAAGAGGAAGAUGUGCGAAAUUGAGCAUGGAUUUGGCUACUUCGACUAGUGUACGGUUCCUUCUUUCUACUACUCCAUUUUGUUGUGGUGUAUAAGGAGCUAAGAAGUUGUGAGUGAUACCUUUAGACACCAAAAAGCUGUUGAGAGGAUGAUUAGUGAACUCGGUUCCAUUAUCACUAUGGAUGCGUCUUACUGGCAGCUUGAUCUGAAGUUCUAUUUCUUUGAUGAAGUUGAUGAGAAUUUGCGGUGUUUCGGAUUUGAGUCUGAGGAAGAAAACCCAUGUGAAGCGAGUGAAGUCAUCUACUAUAACCAGUAUAUACUUUUUGAGAUGGAUACUGGCUACGGUUGAUGGACCGCAGAGAUCAAUGUGCAGAAGCUCAAGUGGUUCUGAUAUUGAAGAGUCAAUCACCAUGGAGUGACUUGCUUUAGACUGCUUACCACAUUCACAAGCAGGACAGAUAGUGUCAUUGCCGAACUUGAGAAUAGGGAGUCCUCUGACCGGCUCUCCAGUGACCAAAGUGUUGAUGUAUCUGAAGCAGAGAUGAGCGAGCUUGCGGUACCAUAGCCAGCUGACUUCGGAUACAACUUUGGAAAAGAAACACAGUUGUGGUUUUCCAAUGAUAAGAGAGACAUCCAGAGGAUACAUGGUACCCUCGGAUCGUGACUUGAUCAAGCAGGUGCUCCUAUCACUUGUCAUUACAUAACAUAAUUGAUCAUCGAAUUCAACUCGAUGGCCUACCUUACAUAGUUGGCCAACACUGAUGAGAUUGUGUUUAAGGCUUUCUACAUAAGCAACCUUUUGAAUUGAGAAGUUCCCCAUAGUGAGUACACCGUAACCUCGGAUGAUUCCAUUCGCAUUUUUGCCGAAUGUAACAUUUCCACCAUUACAAAUUGGCCUGAAAUCCCGAAGGUAUUUUAACCUUCCGGUCAUGUGCAACGAGCAGGCACUGUCAAUUAACCAUUCAUCUUCUUCUUCCUCCUUGCACAAAGCUUGAGAAUUACACGGUUAGUUUAGGCAUCCAAACUAGUUUGGAUCUUGGAACAACAGGUGAGUUUCUGAGUGAUGCAUGGACCGAGGUUGCAGGGACUAGUUUCGUGUCAACUAAACCUAUUCCUAGGUGUUUAUGUAAUUUUGGAGUGUUGUGUGUUUUUGUAAAGUUACGAGGUUUCUGAUUUUGCAACUACACUGACACUCACAGCUUGAGAUUUUGUCUUUUGUUCUGACACCAUGUUUGGUCAGCGGUCUAAAGGAAGACUUGUUUGGCUUUUGACUAGUCUGAGGUUGAAAAGAUCUGACAUGAGUGUUGUUAGUUUUCUGAUAAGUUUGUUUUGAAAAAGGUUUAGCACGUGUAGAUCUUUGUGCCCUUUUUGUUGGAUUUGGUAAAAUACCCUUCCACUUGUUAAAAUUUUGAUGUGACUUUAAAUGUGUUGCAGUGGGUAAAAUACCUUUCCAUUUCGGAUCAUCUGAGGAAUAGAUUUGAAAAACACUAUUUCGAAAAGACUGUGCACUCUUUUGAAUUGUGUCAGAUGAAUUAGGAAUGACUGUUGAAACUAUACAUUCUUUUUGGAUGUUUUCUUCGUGGUAGGGUUUUUUGAAAGAUAGUGAGAGAAAACUAUUUUUUCUGGACUUUUGUAUUUUUUAAAUCUGACAUGCUUUUUGUUUUUUGAAAACAUUUGUUUAUUUGUGCCUCGGGAGCGAAUUUCUUCUUUGAAAGCCUUUUUAGCUAAGGAUUUUGGUGAACCGCAGUCUCUGUUAUUCAACUGUGGUUUCCUAGAACCUUUUGAAAUUUUAUGAAAACAUGGGCUUGAGUCAUCAGAACAUGAGGAUUCAAGGAUUUGAGAACAUUGACCCACUUCAAAGUGUUCUAUGGGUAAUUCAUGAUGAAUUAUUUGAAGAGUGGCAGAACUUUUGUUCGAAGACUGCGGUAGGGAUGACUUGACUACUGCAGAGUAAGUCUUAAUUGGGACUUCAGUGGGACUUUGGUGGGACUUUUGGCUGUAGUGAGGGACAGUACGGUCUGAGGACAGGGAUGGAAAGUCUUUCGAGACUUCAGUGUCCUCAAUGGCAAUUUCUUCUUCGACUACGGAUAAGUUUUGAGAAUUUGGGAAGGUAGUGCCAUAGAUGGGAAUUUGAUCACAUGUGUGACCGGAAACCUCAGGCACAAUUUCCUCAAUGACGCAAUUGUUUCUUAGAUUAUGUAGUCUACCGAAGUGAGUUAUGAUAUCUUCAGGAAAAGUCUUUUCAUUGACUGGGAAAUGAAAUUCUCGGUCUGGAGGGACAUACAGUCUGUCUUUGUUGAACCGGGGUGAGGAAUCCAUUGCGGUAGGAUAUCCAUUUGACCAACUCCAAUUGUAUGUGUUGUCCACGGUUCCAUUAUUUACCAAAUUUUCAAUAGCUUCACUUUCAUUGAACAAAUUUUCGAUUAAAAUAUUUAAACGUACAAUUUCACUUUGAGCUAAAUCUCUCUGGUUCAAAGCUAUCUCUAAUUGGGUUUCACUCAACAUUCUUGCAUCGUUUUCUAACUCUAAAUCUCUUUCUAACAUAGCCAUUUUGAGGCUUUUGUUAUCCAUUCGUCCUCUCACAUGGAACAUCUCCUAGGACGCACUGUUCUUAUCAUCUAAGGCUUUGUUUUAGUCUGUAGGGACGGCAACACAUGUGUCAUUAAGAUUAUCUAUGUAAGGUUGACAAUCACGCAUGCUAUAUUUUAGAGUUUGGAUCAUGAGUUUUACCUGUUCGACGAUGCUUUGAGUUCCACCCUUUACCGUGUAGCAGUAGUUUUUGUCCAUCUUUGUAUACCCAUCAUCAUCCACAGUUGCCAACAUGCAGAUCUUCCCUUUUCCAUUGACACUGCUGAUGGCUUCUUCUUCGUCUCCGGAUGACCAGACUUGUUGGUCUCUUUUGACAUGGGCUACAUAUGCCCUUUCUUUCUCCUUUUCUUCCAAAUAUUGAGCCAUUUUAAGGUAGAAUACUCUGUCUUUAACUACAUUGGCCUUAAAAUCUCUUGCAAAGUGAUUCUCUUUGUUGCAUUUGUGACAAACUACAACAUCAGUCUUGUCUUCUGAGGGAGUACCAGAGCCAGUGGUUUGAGUAGGCUGCGGUGCUUCCAUUGGUUAAGUAUUGUGAGGUUGCGGUGGUGGAUGAGAACUUUUAGGAUAAUGUGAGUGAUUUUCUUGUGGGUUGAAGUUACGAUUGAAGGGUGGUUUGUUGAAUUGUUGAGUUUUGCGAAAAGAGUGAGGUGGUAGUCGGUUGAAUUGUUUGUUAGCUUGAGUAAUUGCCUUUUGAAAUUCUUCUUCAUCAUCAUACUCUAAAUCAGCUUCGUAUGACUGAGGUGAAGUGUCAUACGAGGGAGCAUAAGAUUGAUUAUGUGGAGUUUGUUCUAUGAGAGCAAGAGGUCCUCCGAAGUCAGCACAAUCUUUGAGUAUGGUGGAUUCCUGUACUUGCAGUUCCCAAUAGAGUUUGUAGAGUGACAAGGAAUGAAUCUUUCUAUCGCCUUGGACUAUCAUUUUAGCCGUAUUCCAAUGUCUUCCCAAGUCAUUAAGAAACUGAAGAUUUGUUUCAUGGUUACUGCGGAUGGUGCCUGCGUUGGAUAACUUGGUGACAAUCAGGUUGAACCUUUUGAAGGAGUCUUCCAAACUUUCGCCAAUAUGAGCUUUGAAGUUGUUGAACUCAUUGAGUGUAGUUGUAAGCUUCUUGUCUUGAGCUUGUUCUGAGCCUUCAUAAAGAUUCUUUAGAACAUCCCAGAUCUCUUUUGUUGAUUUGCAAUUUAUGAUAAUAUCGAAGUUUUCAGGAGCAACUCCACAGGAGAUUUCAUAAAAAGCAACAACAUCAUUUUCCAUUUUAUCGAGACCAUCCCUGGUGGAACGGCUCAUAGCUUGUUAACCUCCUCCUAGUCUUGUUGUAGCUCUGUCUGUUUGGAUUGGUGUAAGUACUGGGACAUGUGGUCCUUCUUCUACAGAUCACAAUACAUCUCUACCAAGUCAACUUAAGUAUCUUUCCAUUCUUUAUGACCAGUGAUGAUAUUCAUUUGAAACCAGUAUUGGGGCUCGAUUAGAACCACCAACACUGUUGGAAACAUUCAGAGAUAACGAUUGUGCCAUAUUUUGAAGUUUUUUUGUUUUAGAAAUGAGCUUAAGUGGUAUAGAAGGCUCUUCGAAAAAUCAGAGUUUUGAUUUUCAAAAAGCAACCACUAUGGUUCUGAUACCAAUUGUUGAGAGAAAAACUUUGGGACACACUUGAACAAAUGUUAGAACAAGUAUAUUGCGGAAUAGUUAAUCUCAAGGAUCUAAAAGCUCAACAAUAAUAUUUAGAGUUAGAUGUUAGAGACUUAGUUGCAGAAAAGUAAAGAAAUAGAAAUGACAACAAUUGUUAUAUCAAGUAUACACUUAAGCUGAUUCAUAACGAGGAAUGCAUUCAAGCCAAGUUAAUAAGUGAGAUCAAACUUAGUGAUUAAGUCACAAAAGACUUGCUUCGAAGAGAGAUUGUAAUCGAUUAUGGAAGUAAGAAGUGUGAGUAAGAGAAAUAGAAAAGAUAACUUCAGACAUGUGUAUUCAGAAUUAGAUGCGAUACUUGUUUACAAGAGAAUGAGUUCUAUUUAUAGAGACUCACAAAGUACACUAGACUAUGUCUCUAAGAGUAGCCAUUCAAGGCAUACUGGACAAUAGAGAGUUUUAAAGUAAUCUAGUAAAAAGACUACGGUAGGCAAGGACUGCGGUUGGCGACUGCGGUAGCUGAAGUUCAAGAGGGCCACUUUUUAUAAUUCAACAGGAACCCUUGUAACAUAUACUAAAACUUGGUUAAGAUUAAUCCUUCUAAAGAAUCUUCCAUCAAAACCUCAUUAUUGAUGCUUAUUGUCUCUAAAUUGACUAGCCCGGAUCUGCGGGCGUUACAGUUAUUCACACCUUGUUUGUGAUCCUUGGCAUCCCAGUCACAAACUUGAGAGGGCACAAUCGAGAUUUAAAAUGCCAUUGAAAAGUUCAAUGAAUCUCAAAAGAUCUAGGAUGUGACAUCCCCAAAUUUCUCGGCCAGAAAAGACCGAUUUAAUUUAUGCUUUUUAAAAUCAAAUCAGAUAAAUCUUUAUAAAAGAUGUUGCGGAAUUGGUCCCUAAAACAAAAUAUGAUAAAAGUUUGUCAAAACCUUUCUUUAAGAAAUAUAACAUUUCUUUUUAUAUCAAAACCUCGGGAUGUCAUGUUUCGAUACAGAUCAAAAGCAUAAACAAGACAUUAUAAGCCUUACGACAGUUAUUUGUAACUAUUGGUCUAUAAUCCAAAAUUCACUCAUCAUCAUCAUCCGACUAUGCUCGGGGUCCUCUACCUGUAAUAUAAACAGCUGAGUGGGUCAGGCUUGGAAGCCUGGUGAGCAUAUAGGGUUUUCAACCCACAAUACAUAAAUUUAUUAUGUUUAAACAUCAAUCAAUCAACCUAAUUACCCCAAACCCCAUUAUUUUAUUUAUUUCUUAAGGGUUUACCCUAAGAAUCAACUAUCACUCCUUCCUAAGGAUUCAUCCUAAGGAAUAGACACAAAGUCACCUCGUGACCGGGGUUUAUACAAUGGGCACUAAUUCCAUAGCUGCCAAAGUUUAUUCAACAUGUGCUAAGUCCAUANAUAGACACAAAGUCACCUUGUGACCGGGGUUUAUACAAUGGGCACUAAUUCCAUAGCUGCCAAAGUUUACUCAACAUGUGCUAAGUCCAUAACUCUCAUUUAUCGACAGUAUUAUUUACAGGUGUUCUCUACUGCAAUACAUGUCAAUGGGUUUUAGAGUACAACAAAUGAACAUAUAGUUCAUUACACCUACAGGUUGCGAGCCUGCUAGUGCUCCAUAGACUGUCUAGAAUAGUCCAUGGUUGUCAUCCAUACUCUGCUGAAUGACAGGGGCCAACAAUUUGGGUAAGUGAUUCUCUCAAAUGUUCACCACUCACCCUCAACUCAUGAUCAAUAUUAUUGAUCAUCUCCUUUAUCCAACUCACCUUUCAUCAUACCCACUAUUUCAUCUACCCAAGUUUUACCCAACAUUUUUCGUAGAUAAAAAAGCAUAUACAGUUUAAAACUUGUAUAAAACAUCAAUUCAAUACUCACCUCAAUUAAACAAUUAGUAUAUUUACACAUAAAACGUAUUUCAAGGUAAAUACUUCAUAUCUAUGUGUAAAUUGAACGUAACUACACACUCACAUGAUUUAAUGAAAAUCGGGCAGCAAUUCGUUUUCUAAAACGAUCGUUUCUAAUAAAACCGGGAGUUUUAUUGAGAAACCGGGCUCUGCGAAAGGUCGGGCCUCGAAACCGAAAAGAUAAAUUUUCCGGGCUUCACGGGCACUUCGUGGCGUAUUCCGGGGCUUAUAAUCGAUACCGGGGCUUCGGGGGAUGAUAAUAUGAAAGCAACACGGAUAAAGGGGCUAAAAAUGACAAGUUUUCAAAAUACCCCCGGGAGGUCUCGCACCCUUCUAUUUAUAGGGUGGAGCUUCUGAUCGGACGGCUGAGAAGGAACUACACGUCGCAGAUCCGAGGGCUCGCAGGCGAAGGCUCGCACAUGGUUUGCACAUGGUCUACGCAUGCGAGGGCUCGCUGGCAGUCUGUGAUUGGUCCGAGGUGUGUGUCCGAUGUGCAGGUGGUCAGCAGGUGCGAGGGUCUCGGUGGCACUCGCUGAUUGGACCGCGGAGUCAUCUUACAUGUGCGAGGCUCGGAGCUAGGUGCGAGCUUCGGAUUGGUCAGCAACUUCGAUUUGGACAGAUGCUCGGUUCGGAUUGGGUCUCCUUCUUGGACGAAUCAGAAGCCUACACGCAGGUCGGAUCACGUGGGUUGCAUGCGAGGAUCACGUGGCUACUGUUCAUGCGAGGGUGACUCAGCAGACUUCGGUGACUCAGCAGGACACGUGGCAAUUUUUCAGCAAGGGUGACGUGGCAACUCGUGACUAUGCGGAUUUUCUCGAUUUUCGCGCCAAAACUUCUAAAAUCCAUAACUUUCGCAUACGAGCUCCGUUUUUGACGUUCUUUAUAUGCACGCGUAGCUAAAAUUACGCUCUACAACUUCCAUUUAGACUUCAUCGGCUAAUUUUGACUUUAAAUUUUAUAUUAUUAUUUUUAACAGACCGGGACAGGAAAUCCGUUAAAAAUUCAUAACUUCUUCAUCCGACGUCCGUUUUCGUCAGACUUUUUACCGUUGUGCUCCUAAUGACGAGACCUUCAAUUCUCGUUUAGGUUGUGUCGGCUAAAAAUCGCUCAAUCUAAAAUUUGAGUUUUUAGCUGUCUACUGCUAAGCUGAAACUUCGAAAAAUCAUAACUUCUUCAUACGAAGUCAGAUUUGGGCGUUCUUUUUAUCGAACUUCUCGGUUUGACGAAUACUACGAAUUUCUUUUAGAUUACUAAGGCUAAUAAGUAGUUUAUCAAAAACUCACUUUUUACGACACUCGGCACCGUGCCGGUUUUGUCGCGAAACUUCGACAGGUGAUAACUUCUUCGUUAUAACUCGGAUUUCGGCAUUCUUUAUAUCCCUGAAAUCCUUGUUUCGACCACUACAACUUUAUGUAAAGAUAUCGGGCUUACCUCACACUUUAAUUUUGACGUUUAUUUUUAUUUUUAAUUAAUUAAACCCUAAUAAUUAAGCAUAAAACACAUAAUUCACAUAAUUCCUUUUCAUUUCUUCUAAAUGAGUUACAAUGGUUACCCUACACCAUUAUGUCAAUAUUAAUGCAUAGCCUAGAAACACGGGCGUUACAUAGGAGUUUCAAACCAAUUAAAACCUAACUCCUAUUUCGUUUUUCAUGGUGGAAAUUGGUGAAUCGUCAUUCGCCUACCUUCAAAUAUUUUAUAGCUUGGAUUACGGCAUCCCUCUUUCAAUUUAUAAAAUAUUGUGUUGGGUCCUAGCGCUAAUAUUUCAUAUUGGGUGUUAUAUUAAGGACUUGUGUCAACUAACUUGAAUUUCUCCCAUUGUAGAUGCCUGGUUCAGACAAUUAUGAUCUUCCCAAAACUCUUGGAACACGAUUUCCUAAUGAAGAUGAUGUUCCUAAUGAAGAUGAUUUCCUAAUGAACUUUUCAUGUCCUCCACCUCCUCUAAUUAUUCUCCCUGACCCACAAGCUCGAAGACAUGAAAAUUUCAAGAUCACUCAAUCCCUACUUGCAAUGAAACAUAAAGAUGGAAGACUUGUGUGCACUCAUGUCUUAGAGAUGAAGUCACAUAUUGACAGGUUGAGAAUUUUGGGUGUCGUCAUCCCAAGGAAAUUGGCUAUUGAUUAGGUUCUUCAGUCACUUCCUGAGUCGUUUAGUGAGUUCAUUAACGACUACUAUGUGACAGAUCACGAUAUGACCCUCGUUGAUCUUUCUUAUUUGCUUGUUGCUGCUGAAUCAGAAAUGUUUUGGCGCACUGGAAAAGUAAAUUUGGGUGGAAGGUCUAUUUCUCAAACUUCCAUGGACAUUGACAAUGGUAACAUUGGAAAUCCAGAAAAGCUUUCUCUUCCUAAUGGAAAGGGAUCGGCCUUGAUCAACUCGGUUUACCAAAAGGUAAAGGGAAAGGCUAAGUCUAGGAUAGUCUCGUGUACCAUUCCCAAAGAGUCUAUAUGUUUUUAUUGUCAAGAGAAAGGGCAUUGGUUGUGAAGCUGCCCUAAUUACCUGAAAGAUUUGAGAGAAGGAAGAAUCAAAAAGUUUGAUUCUACUUUAGGCAAGUCCACUAUCUAACUUUGUUAAGUUCCUAAUUGUUGAUUCUUAAUACAUGAUGUGACUAGGUUGCAUUUUGAUGUCUUGCAGGAUCAAGUAAAAGGAAGGAAGCCUAAAAUAAGAGCAUGAUGAAUCUGAUCGCGAAGAUGAUCACAUGGUUCGAAGAUCAGAUUCUUGAGCUACUACUUUGGGGUUAUGAUAGAUUGAUAGGAAACAUGUGAUAGCAAACUUUCAUUUAAAGUUGCAUUGUAAGGAAAAGUUUUUUUUUUUGAAUUUCAUAAAUAAAUAAAAUUUUGUUUUUGUUUCAUUUUAUAUCUCCUUGCAAUGACAUUUACGGAAAAUUGAUGUUUGUAUGUUUCUAGCAAUAAUGGAAAUACGAAUUUAAUUCUUUCAUUUGUGGUGGUAUCUAAAUUUACCAAAUAAGGAAAGAUUCUCAUCACCCAAGUUUCAAUUGGACAGAAACUUGGAAUCAUGCAAGUUGUAUUGUAUGAUGAAUGAGAAUUUUCAUCUUUGGAAAAUUUAGACUAAUUCAUUGUUCACAUGUAUAUGUGAGUCAAGUGAAGGACUAAGGGAUCGAGUACACAUUCUUGAGCACUAGUCAAGUCCACCACAAAGAUCUAUAAGACUAUUCGUCAUGAUUUACUAAAGUAUAGUAAAUAUGGUUACACUUACAAGUUUAAAUAUAAUUCUGAAAAAUUGGAAAAGUUUCAAUGUAUGGCAGAACGAAUGAGAAGAAUAAAAUUAGGCAGAAAGACAAAAGUUUCUCAAAUCUAAAAAAUGGGAGAGUACUUUAGUAUCAUGUUUUGUGAUCAUCUUAAUGUUUUGUGAUCAUCUUAACAACUAUGGUUAUACUUACAAGUUUAACAUGAGUAACAUACCUUAAAGAAGGUUUAUAACACUUGUCAAAUGUAGAGUAAAAGGUUUUCUACUCUUGUACAUUUGAAAGUGGUAUGUUGUGAUGUUUUGGAUAAAACAAAGACCAACUAAGGCCAAUUGUGUGAAGUGUUUGUCUUGAUAAAGAAUCCGCACUAUCUCUUGAAUAUUUAUCUGUCAAGGAAUUGUUCUUGGAAAGAGAGUCUUAUAUGUUAAGAGGAUAGUGGGAGUAUUAAAGAUCCUAAAAGAGUUUCAAGAACUAAUCAAGAAUAAAACAUAUAGUUUAUCACUAGCACAUGACUUGAGGUUUAUAACCUAUCGUGUUGACAUAUUCUAGUUUUUGUGCCCAUUCCACUUAAAGUUGGCUUUGCGUAUGGGUUCUAAGAGUUCUCAAUUGGUUGCAUAACAACCUGGAAUCAAUGGUAGGCCCUUGUACUGCUAGGUGGCAAGAAAUUAAGAAUAAACAAGUUCCGUCCAUAUGAGUUUGUAUUUGUCACUAACCUUGUCUUGUGAUUACGGUUUUAACAAAUUUACAUGGAUAGGAACACAUACACCAUAGAAAUCUAAAUUUCAUAAGGUUUCUCUUCGAUUCAUGAAAAUGAUGGUGAGGAAACGCUUUCCCUGAGUAGAUUUUAAGUAGAUAGCAAUUGUGAUAUUUGCAUUCUCAAAGUCAUUAGUGGAGCGUGUGUGGUUAACCGACACACUAACAUGGACUUGUGAGAAAUGGCAAAGGUCUAAACAAAUGAGACUAUGAUGAUGGAAUCCCUUUUCAAAGUUCUAAAAUUGUUUAGACUCACAUAUGAGCUAUCUAAGGAAAGGUGUAUGAUUUUGAUAAAGUUUUAUAAAAGCAUCUCGUAUCAGAAAUCUGAACUUUGGUAAGAAAAUCAAUGAAGUAUUGAUUUCUAGAAGUCCAAUUGAUUUCUGAGUACAUGUCAAAGCUAAUGGGAGCAUAAGUGUUAUGCUAAUAAUCAUCAUGUUAGUGGGAGCAUGAUAAUUAUGAUAAGUGUUGCAAGUUAGCAAUGUUAAUUAUAGAAAACAAAAGUUUCAAUUAGGAAAAGUUGUUUUGCUAUANUAUAUAUAUAUAUAUAUUUAUGAAUUUUAUGUUGGAAUAGCACAACAUAAGGAAAUUCCAUAUAUAUUGCGUUCUCAAAUUCGAUUAUGAUUACGACAUCCCUCUUCAUAGUCGAAUUAUGAAAACAUGGAAAAAUAAAAAAUAUUGUAGCAAAAGACUGAUCUAGAAUCAUGACUUUAUGUGAGACAUCAUGAAUCGCGUCCCAUAUGCUUCGGGUAUAGGACCGAUUCCAUGUGCUAUAAUAUUUAUCCUUUCUAAAUUCUCCAAAUGCGUAGGGCAUUAAGAGGGGAAAAGGUCUAGAAUUGGAUAUGACUAAAAUGAUUAAGCAAUUGCUGAGGACAAUAUGAGGUUUUACCAAAGAUUGGUUGCUCAUGGACAAUUGGAAGUUGUUUGAUUAGUGUCUAAGUCCAUAACUAUUUUGGUACGUACUUGACCCGAUGGUGCAUGGUCCUUUUGGGUUGCCUUCACCAAAGCAACUUGAUAGUAUGAAUUAUGGAGAGAAAGGAUUAAUUAUGAUUUAUUAAUAUAUUAUGAGAAUAAUAUAUUAAAGGAGAAAUCAUAUUGUUUAAUUAAUAUUAGUCAAGAAUUAAUAAGAAUUAAGUUUGUGGCUAAAAGACAUUAAUUAAACUUAAGGGACUAGAACUGUCAAUUGUAUGAAGUAACCCCUUAGGGUUUUGGAUGGUUUUGGGCAGCUUCCUCUCUCCUUAUUCUUCAUCCUCUUCCUCUUGGUGUUUGUGAGCCAUUAGAGGAGUGACAAUUGUGACUCUAAGCUUUCUAAAGUCAUUACAAGGAGGAAUUGAGAUUGUUAUUGCUACAUAACAAUCAAAGGUAAUUCUUUAAACCCUAAUUUCAGUUUAUAAUAUGUUAGAUCUAAGAUUGUAAGUCUUUGAUACAUUGCACGUACAAUAGAUAAUCCUAGAUCCAAGCAUUAAGGUUUGUAUGAGCACAUAGGAUUAUUCUUAUGUCUAAAACCCAUCAGUGGUGUCAGAGCCUAGAUUGGU